UCGAACGGGAUCCUUCGGGAUUUAGUGGCGGACGGGUGAGUAACGCGUGAGAAUCUGCCCUUAGGUUGGGGACAACAGUUGGAAACGACUGCUAAUACCCAAUGUGCCGAGAGGUGAAAUGUUUUUUCGCCUGAGGAUGAGCUCGCGUCAGAUUAGCUAGUUGGUGGGGUAACGGCCUACCAAGGCGACGAUCUGUAGCUGGUCUGAGAGGAUGAUCAGCCACACUGGGACUGAGACACGGCCCAGACUCCUACGGGAGGCAGCAGUGGGGAAUUUUCCGCAAUGGGCGAAAGCCUGACGGAGCAAGACCGCGUGAGGGAGGAAGGCCUAUUGGUUGUAAACCUCUUUUGAUAGGGAAGAACACAAUGACGGUACCUAUCGAAUCAGCAUCGGCUAACUCCGUGCCAGCAGCUGCGGUAAUACGGAGGAUGCAAGCGUUAUCCGGAUUUAUUGGGCGUAAAGCGUCCGUAGGUGGCAAACCAAGUCAGUUGUUAAAGCGUAGAGCUUAACUCUAUAAGGGCAAUUGAAACUGGUUAGCUAGAGUGCGAUAGGGGCAAGGGGAAUUCCCAGUGUAGCGGUGAAAUGCGUAGAUAUUGGGAAGAACAUCGGUGGCGAAGGCGCCUUGCUGGGUCUGCACUGACACUGAGGGACGAAAGCUAGGGGAGCGAAAGGGAUUAGAUACCCCUGUAGUCCUAGCCGUAAACGAUGGAUACUANGCGUUGUCCGUAUCGACCCGAGCCGUGCCGAAGC
rnacentral:rRNA from 1 species